GAGGCAAAGAGCAAUCCAAAAAUCUGGGCUGCUGUGAGCCACACCCAGCUGUGCGGAUAUCUCAAGUGGGAGUGCACGUGACCUGAGGGAGCCAAAACACAUUUUCAGACAUCUCAAGGCUUUCCUGACUCUAUGGUGGUCCUGCCUGGUGAAGAGUCAAGUCCUGGCCCACCAUGAGCCUGGAUGUUUAGAGCUCCAAACCUCAGCUCACACCCUGGCAGCUCAUCACUCUGAAAAGAGGCUUUGGUGAACUGAGUAUGGACUGUGGUUCAACCCCAUAUUUCUCCUGAAGGGGAGAUUUUCGCUGACCAAACCAUAACUAAGCAACAGAAUGGAUUCUGCUGUCAUUUCCUGGUUUACAAGUAACCCUGCUAUGAUUCGGCGUAAGGUUUCGUGAACUUUCCGGGCCAGUUUUAAACUUGUGGUAU